rnacentral:rRNA from 1 species
GUGGGGGAUAUUGCACAAUGGGGGAAACCCUGAUGCAGCAACGCCGCGUGAGGGAAGACGGUUUUCGGAUUGUAAACCUCUGUCCUCAGGGACGAUAAUGACGGUACCUGAGGAGGAAGCUCCGGCUAACUACGUGCCAGCAGCCGCGGUAAUACGUAGGGAGCAAGCGUUGUCCGGAUUUACUGGGUGUAAAGGGUGCGUAGGCGGCUUGGCAAGUCGGGCGUGAAAGCUAUGGGCUUAACCCAUAAAUUGCGUUCGAAACUGUUGAGCUUGAGUGAAGUAGAGGUAGGCGGAAUUCCCGGUGUAGCGGUGAAAUGCGUAGAGAUCGGGAGGAACACCAGUGGCGAAGGCGGCCUACUGGGCUUUAACUGACGCUGAGGCACGAAAGUGUGGGUAGCAAACAGGAUUAGAAACCCGAGUAGUCC